rnacentral:rRNA from 1 species
AAUAUGAUUAGAUACCCUGGUAGUCCACGCCGUAAACGAUGUCGACUUGGAGGUUGUGCCCUUGAGGCGUGGCUUCCGGAGCUAACGCGUUAAGUCGACCGCCUGGGGAGUACGGCCGCAAGGUUAAAACUCAAAUGAAUUGACGGGGGCCCGCACAAGCGGUGGAGCAUGUGGUUUAAUUCGAUGCAACGCGAAGAACCUUACCUGGUCUUGACAUCCACAGAACUUUCCAGAGAUGGAUUGGUGCCUUCGGGAACUGUGAGACAGGUGCUGCAUGGCUGUCGUCAGCUCGUGUUGUGAAAUGUUGGGUUAAGUCCCGCAACGAGCGCAACCCUUAUCCUUUGUUGCCAGCGGUCCGGCCGGGAACUCAAAGGAGACUGCCAGUGAUAAACUGGAGGAAGGUGGGGAUGACGUCAAGUCAUCAUGGCCCUUACGACCAGGGCUACACACGUGCUACAAUGGCGCAUACAAAGAGAAGCGACCUCGCGAGAGCAAGCGGACCUCAUAAAGUGCGUCGUAGUCCGGAUUGGAGUCUGCAACUCGACUCCAUGAAGUCGGAAUCGCUAGUAAUCGUGGAUCAGAAUGCCACGGUGAAUACGUUCCCGGGCCUUGUACACACCGCCCGUCACACCAUGGGAGUGGGUUGCAAAAGAAGUAGGUAGCUUAACCUUCGGGAGGGCGCUUACCACUUUGUGAUUCAUGACUGGGGUGAAGUCGUAACAAGGUAACC